rnacentral:rRNA from 1 species
UACGUAGGGUGCGAGCGUUAAUCGGAAUUACUGGGCGUAAAGCGUGCGCAGGCGGUUUUGCAAGCCGGAUGUGAAAUCCCCGGGCUCAACCUGGGAAUGGCAUUCGGGACUGCAAGGCUGGAGUGCGGCAGAGGAGACUGGAAUUCCUGGUGUAGCAGUGAAAUGCGUAGAGAUCGGAAGGAACGUCGAUGGCGAAGGCAGGCACCUGGCAUAAUACUGACGCUGAUGCGCGAAAGCGUGGGGAGCGAACAGG